UUGCCUCUUUGCCUUCUCCAUUAUUUGGAUCACCAUCAACCUUACCACUCUCCUAAUCUCCCACACCUCCACUGCUCACCAUCUCCUCCUCCCAACAACACCAAUUUUCACUCUCGCCCCCUCCCUAAACUGCACCACUCACAUCCCUUUAAAACAUCCAAUCCCUUCUCUUGAUUCCCACACCGUCUUUAACCCUAAAUACUACAACUUACACUGCCCACCACCAUUACACUAACCACACAACCUCAAAGCACCACUCGAUUCCCAUACCCACCACGAUCGUCCCCCAACCCAUUACCCGAUUCCAUCUUCUAGCCCCAAUCUUGUCAAAGACUCACCUAACCCAUCAUGAAAACCUAAUCAAAAUUCAACCAAUAAGCUCUAUAAAAACAAUCAAUCUUCAAAGAGAGAGGAGGCUUCAAAUCUAGCGCAAACUGGAGAAAGAAAGGGAGGCUCUAGAUUAGUUUACAAGGAUAGGAGUAAUCAAGGAAAAGGGAAGGGGUAAGGAAAAAAAUUAUUUAUGAAUUUUAAUAAUUUUUACCUAAAAAAUAGUAAAGGGAAAUUUUUUAUCAAGUCCUUAUUUUGCUUUUUAAGUAUGUUCCACAAUGCCACACUUCUAUGUUUUAAAUUAGCGGUGUUAGAUUGGAGUACCAAAAUAAUAGACGGAACAAAAGUACAAGUAUUACAUUGAACAAUUGAAAAACAUAACUACCACAAUGAAAGAUUUGGUAGAGUACAGGGGUAAUUUUUGCUAUUAUCCCAAAAUUAAAUAUACUUUUAACUAUAUAUAAUGAUAAUAAAAGAUAUAUAAACGUUCUGCAAUCAAAUUUUUAUAUUAAACUUGACAUUUACAAAUUUCAAAAUAUUUCAAAAAAAAAUAUUUUCGUUGAAUCUGAAAAAUUAUUUUUUAACAAACAUAAUUUUGAAAAUGAUUUUUUGGUAUAAAAAUAAAUUAAGUCAUGCCUAUAAAAAUAGCAAACUUAAGGCUUCUACCAUCUUCCACUAUUAUCUGGUAGAUAUUCUAAUGUGGUGGAUAAUCAAAAAUAACCAAACGAUCUAUUUUGUCUUCAUCUACUUUAGCUAAAUAAUCAAUAACUUGAUUCUCAUUCUGAAUGCACCGAAAUUUAACUUAUCGAUUCUUGGAGCACCAUAUAUCAUUCUAAUCUCAUCAAUGUUACUUACUGCUGCUAGAUUGUUUCGAACAACUUUCCAAUUCUACUUGUCUAAAGCAUCGACCCCAAGUUAGUUUCAGUCCUUCUAGGACAGCCCAAGCCUCUCACCACCUCACCUAUUGCCGCCCUUGAUCUGCUUCUUAACACUGAACCAUCCCUGUUGAUCUUAACCCAUCGAGGAGGAGCCGGUGGUUGCCAUCUUUUUACCGUCAUGGACUUGAAAAUGAUAUUAAAAUUGGUGAAAAAGCUAUGAAAUCAUUUGUUUCCAUUUUUUUUCAAAACCUAUGGAAUCAUGUGUUAAUCAAGAAGUGAUGUUAUCUUUAAUAGCUAAUGUUUUUUUAUUCUCCUCUACCCAAUAGAGAAAAAGCCAGAAAAAGAAAAAGGUGUUACUGUCAAUCUAUCAAGAUUCUGGGAAUAAAAAUCUAUGGUUUUAAAUUAAGUUUGAGAAAGUUUUUUCUUUUUAAUAAAUAUUUAAUCAAAGUGGCCUGAAAAAUGAAAUUUGAAUGUUGGCCACCACUUCUUGUCGUCGUUUUGACAGCAACUGCAGCAUCCUGUUUUAGACUUUUGAUUUUGAAGUCAAAAUUAUCGUUUUGUGAAUUUCGAUUCACUGUGAA
rnacentral:lncRNA from 1 species